GAUGAACGCUGGCGGCGUGCUUAACACAUGCAAGUCGAGCGAGAAACUACAUGCAGACACUUCGGUAGAAGCGAGUAGCGGAAAGCGGCGGAACGGGUGAGUAACGCGUAGGCAACCUGCCCUUCACAGAGGUAUAGCCUCGGGAAACCGGGAUUAAAACCACAUAAAAUCAUAGGUUCGCAUGAACCAAAGGUCAAAGAUUUAUCGGUGAAGGAUGGGCCUGCGUCUGAUUAGCUGGUUGGUAGGGUAAAAGCCUACCAAGGCGACGAUCAGUAGCCGACCUGAGAGGGUGAUCGGCCACAUUGGAACUGAGACACGGUCCAAACUCCUACGGGAGGCAGCAGUGGGGGAUAUUGCACAAUGGGGGAAACCCUGAUGCAGCAACGCCGCGUGAGGUAUGAAGGCCUUUGGGUUGUAAGCCUCUGUCCUAGGGGAAGAAAAAAAUGACGGUACCCGAGGAGGAAGCCCCGGCUAACUACGUGCCAGCAGCCGCGGUAAUACGUAGGGGGCAAGCGUUAUCCGGAAUUAUUGGGCGUAAAGAGUGCGUAGGUGGUCUACUAAGCGCGAGGUGAAAGGCAAUGGCUCAACCAUUGUUAGCCUUGCGAACUGGCAGACUUGAGUGCAAGAGAGGAAAGCGGAAUUCCUAGUGUAGCGGUGAAAUGCGCAGAUAUUAGGAGGAACACCGGCGGCGAAGGCGGCUUUCUGGAUUGUAACUGACACUGAGGCACGAAAGCGUGGGUAGCAAACAGG
rnacentral:rRNA from 1 species